GAACCGCAUGGUUCUACAGUGAAAGACGGUCUUGCUGUCACUUAUAGAUGGACCCGCGCCGUAUUAGCUAGUUGGUGGGGUAACGGCCUACCAAGGCGACGAUACGUAGCCGACCUGAGAGGGUGAUCGGCCACACUGGAACUGAGACACGGUCCAGACUCCUACGGGAGGCAGCAGUAGGGAAUCUUCCGCAAUGGGCGAAAGCCUGACGGAGCAACGCCGCGUGAGUGAUGAAGGUCUUCGGAUCGUAAAGCUCUGUUGUUAGGGAAGAACAAAUGUGUAAGUAACUGUGCACAUCUUGACGGUACCUAACCAGAAAGCCACGGCUAACUACGUGCCAGCAGCCGCGGUAAUACGUAGGUGGCAAGCGUUAUCCGGAAUUAUUGGGCGUAAAGCGCGCGUAGGCGGUUUUUUAAGUCUGAUGUGAAAGCCCACGGCUCAACCGUGGAGGGUCAUUGGAAACUGGAAAACUUGAGUGCAGAAGAGGAAAGUGGAAUUCCAUGUGUAGCGGUGAAAUGCGCAGAGAUAUGGAGGAACACCAGUGGCGAAGGCGGCUUUCUGGUCUGCAACUGACGCUGAUGUGCGAAAGCGUGGGGAUCAAACAGGAUUAGAUACCCUGGUAGUCCACGCCGUAAACGAUGAGUGCUAAGUGUUAGGGGGUUUCCGCCCCUUAGUGCUGCAGCUAACGCAUUAAGC
rnacentral:rRNA from 1 species